CACGCGCCUCCUCUGCCAGCAAGCAGCCAGUAGAUGUCUCACUGGCUGGCCGUGCGGGCAGCCUGGCUGCACUUGGCCUGAGUGAGCGGACCGAGGGCUUCUGCCGGGACAGGCUGGUGACCUGCCUGGAACGCCCUCCCUCUUGUGCCUGCUCUUGGAGCCCAGGUCCCUGGUGACAGUAAACAGAACGUACUCCAGGCCUGAUACGAAUCUGCCUUGGAUCUUGGCAGGGUGGGGCUGGGGGACCUGUCUCCCAUGGUUAAGAAAAUACAAAUAAAAACAGCACAGGUAAAUAUAGGCAAUUAUGGAGGAAACCCAGGUCUCAAGCCCAUUUUCCCCUGACCUAGAAAUUUUUUUUGGGGGGGGGUAGGGGAGGGAGAGGGCAGUUUGGGAUAGAGUUACUUGGGGCAUUGUAAUUGCUUGACGUAGUUACUAUAAAAUUGGUAGAAUAAAUCUAAUGAUAAAGUUAGUAUUUGAGCAGCAGGCAUAGCUGGUGCUGUUUUGCCAGUGCUUUCCACAGGCCACGCAGGUAUGACGCUAAGUUCUGCAUAGGUGCUACCUUCAUUCAUCCUCCGAGCUCUCUGCUAUGGUCCGGGAUAGCCAUGGAAGAUGGCCCAAGUCCUUGGGCCCCUGCACCCACGUGGGAGAUUCAGAAGAAGUUCCUGGCUCCUGGCUUCAGAUCGGCGCAGCUCCAACUGUUUCAGGCAACUGGGGAGUGAACCAGCAGAUGGAAGACCUCUCUCUCUCUGCCUCUCCUCUCUCUGUGAAGAAGCUAUCUCAUUUUCCAGCAUGAAGUUAGAACAGAGAAAACAAAGCCAGAGGGACUGCUGCCAACCGCCACGUGCCCCAGGCCCUUCACCUGUGCAUGAGGAUCGAGGAGGGGAUGAAUCUCCUGCAGGAGGCAGUCAGGUCAGUGCCGGAGUCACCCGGGGCCACCGCCUGUUCCACUCUGUCCCAUGCUGCAGUGGACGCUCUGCCUUCUCCGUCUGCAAACAGGAGAGAUUGAAAGCAAAACCGCACCCUGGGUUGUUUUGAUGGUGUCCCUGGCAUGGAUUCUAUUUGUGCCUUGUUUCCUGAUGUCACCUAUCAAUGCCCGUGAAAAGAUCUUGCCUUACAUUCUUUUUUUAAAAUUUUUUAUUUAUUAUUUAUUUUCUGACAGGCAGAGUGGACAGCGAGAGAGAGAGAG